CCUACGGGAGGCAGCAGUGGGGAAUAUUGGACAAUGGGGGAAACCCUGAUCCAGCAAUGCCGCGUGAGUGAUGAAGGCCUUAGGGUCGUAAAGCUCUUUUACCAGGGAUGAUAAUGACAGUACCUGGAGAAUAAGCUCCGGCUAACUCCGUGCCAGCAGCCGCGGUAAUACGGAGGGAGCUAGCGUUGUUCGGAAUUACUGGGCGUAAAGCGUGCGUAGGCGGUUAUUCAAGUCAGAGGUGAAAGCCCGGGGCUCAACCCCGGAACGGCCUUUGAAACUAGAUAACUAGAAUCUUGGAGAGGUCAGUGGAAUUCCGAGUGUAGAGGUGAAAUUCGUAGAUAUUCGGAAGAACACCAGUGGCGAAGGCGACUGACUGGACAAGUAUUGACGCUGAGGUACGAAAGCGUGGGGAGCAAACAGGAUUAGAUACCCUGGUAGUCCACGCCGUAAACGAUGAUAACUAGCUGUCCGGACACUUGGUGUUUGGGUGGCGCAGCUAACGCAUUAAGUUAUCCGCCUGGGGAGUACGGUCGCAAGAUUAAAACUCAAAGGAAUUGACG
rnacentral:rRNA from 1 species